rnacentral:ncRNA from 1 species
UCCCAGCCUUAAAAUCAAUUGUUCCAUAACUUACACAUGCAAGUCUCCGCACACCCGUGAGAACGCCCUUUUACCCCACCCGGAUUAAGGAGCCGAUAUCAGGCGUUAUAAUACACCCAAGACAUCUAGCCACGCCACACCCCCAAGGGUAUCCAGCAGUGAUUAACAUUAAAAAUUAACGUCAGUUUGAUUUAGCUAAUGAAAACAGAGCCGGCCAACCUGGUGCCAGCCGCCGCGGUUAAACCACGCGGCUCAAAUUGAUUCCACACCGGCGUAAAGCGUGAUUAAAGACAUUAACUUACUGGGGUAAAACCAUAACUAAGCUGUAAAAUUCUUGUUACAAGAAACCCUAACCCGAAAGAUACCCCACUCGCUUUCUUGAACUCACGAUAACUGGGACAUAAACUGGGAUUAGAUACCCCACUAUACCUAGUCAUAAACUUUUAACUUACACCUACAUCGCCUGGGAACUACGAGCUAAGCUUAAAACCCAAGGGACUUGACGGUACCCUGCAUCCACCUAGAGGAGCCUGUCCUGUAAUCGAUAAUCCCCGUUUAACCUCACCACUUUUAGUUUACCAGCAUGUAUACUUCCGUCGUCAGCUUACCACGUGAAUGUGAUUAAGUAGGCUUAAUGUAUUUAUCUACAACACGUCAGGUCAAAGUGCAGCAAAUACAGUGGGAAGAGAUGGGCUACACUUUCUAUCCUAGAAAACACGAAAGAUUCUAUGAAACACAAUCAGAAGGCGGAUUUAGUAGUAAACGGAACAUAGAGUUUUCCUUUUAACUCGGCACCGGGGUGUGUACACACCGCCCGUCACCCUCUUCAAUUAAUCUGACCUAGUACGUAACAACUUAUUUCCACUAGAAGAGGCAAGUCGUAACAUGGUAAGUAUACCGGAAGGUGUACUUGGAAA